UCGUUGCCUCUCCGAAAACACGACCGUUGCACACGUGACAGAACGCUGCCGGGGAGGCGCCCGCCGCACCCCCGGCCCCACCGGCCUCCUCCCUCUCGCCCUCCGGGGCGCGUCGGUCGUUGGCCGGAACACGGCGCGGGAUGACGCCAAGGAACACGAGAAAGCCGAGGCGCCGGCGAGCCGCUCGCGGUCCGCGCCGGUCGCCGAGGCCGAUUAAAAACAAAAAUAUGACUCUCGGCAACGGAUAUCUCGGCUCUSGCAUCGAUGAAGAACGUAGCGAAAUGCGAUACGUGGUGUGAAUUGCAGAAUCCCGUGAACCAUCGAGUCUUUGAACGCAAGUUGCGCCCGAGGGAUCCUCCCGAGGGCACGCCUGCCUCAUGGGCGUUAGAAGCCCAUCCACGCUCGGCUGCCUCGCGGCAGCGAUGCGGACAGUGGCCCUCCGAGCCGCGAGGCGCGGUGGGCCUAAGUGUGCGGCCGUCGUACGUGGCCGGGAGCGGCGAGUGGUGGGCUACUGCGCACGUCACCCCGCGCCCCGUACCGACACAGGGCCUUGUGCGACCCCCUACCGAGGAGCAAGCCGCCGCGGCUCGCGCCGCGCGGCGUCUUCGGACC
rnacentral:rRNA from 1 species